rnacentral:rRNA from 1 species
UACGUAGGUGGCAAGCGUUGUCCGGAUUUAUUGGGUUUAAAGGGUGCGUAGGUGGUCUAUUAAGUCAGUGCUGAAAUAUCCCGGCUUAACCGGGAGGGUGGCAUUGAUACUGAUGGACUUGAGUAAAGUUGAGGUGGGCGGAAUUGACGGUGUAGCGGUGAAAUGCUUAGAUAUCGUCAAGAACACCUAUUGCGAAGGCAGCUCACUAAGCUUUAACUGACACUGAGGCACGAAAGUGUGGGGGAUCAAACAGG